UGGGGAAUAUUGCGCAAUGGGCGAAAGCCUGACGCAGCAACGCCGUGUGAGGGAUGAAGGCUUUCGGGUCGUAAACCUCUGUCAGAAGGGAAGAACGGGUAAUGGUCGAACAGGCCGUUAUUUUGACGGUACCUUCAGAGGAAGCACCGGCUAACUCCGUGCCAGCAGCCGCGGUAAUACGGAGGGUGCAAGCGUUAUUCGGAAUUACUGGGCGUAAAGCGCACGUAGGCGGCCUUGUAAGUCAGGGGUGAAAUCCCACGGCUCAACCGUGGAACUGCCCUUGAAACUGCGGGGCUUGAAUCCUGGAGAGGGUGGCGGAAUUCCUGGUGUAGGAGUGAAAUCCGUAGAUAUCAGGAGGAACACCGGUGGCGAAGGCGGCCACCUGGACAGGCAUUGACGCUGAGGUGCGAAAGUGUGGGGAGCAAACAG
rnacentral:rRNA from 1 species